UCUCCCUUCCUUCCGUAAAUUCAAAAUUUCAGGUUCGCUCUCUCUCCGGCGCUCGUGCUCCUGCUCCUACUCCCGUCGACGUCCGCCGCAAGCUCGCUCGACCUCACCUCCAUCUUCACCGUCACUCUCGGCCUCUCCCUCGCUCCCGCUCUCCCUCCUUCGAUCUUCCCCCGCCCCGCGCUGCCCCUCCGUGGAUCACGCUCACAGCCAUGCCGUUCGAGAACUCGAACCCCC
rnacentral:lncRNA from 1 species